rnacentral:rRNA from 1 species
CGCGCGUGCGGAGAGCCCUAGGGUGUAAACGCUUUCAGCAGGGAGAAAUGACGGUACCUGUAGAGAAGUGCGGCCCAACUACGUGCCAGCAGCCGCGGUGACACGUAGGCACCAAGCGUUGUCCGGGAUUUAUUGGGCGUAAAGAGCUCGUAGGCGGUUCGGUAAGUCGGGUGUGAAAACUCUGGGCUCAACCCAGAGACGCCACCCGAUACUGCUGUGACUAGAGUGCGGUAGGGGAGCGGGGAAUUCCUGGUGUAGCGGUGAAAUGCGCAGAUAUCAGGAGGAACACCAGUGGCGAAGGCGCCGCUCUGGGCCGUGACUGACGCUGAGGAGCGAAAGCGUGGGUAGCAAACAGGAUUAGAUACCCUGGUAGUCCACGCCGUAAACGUUGGGCACUAGGUGUGGGUCUCAACCAACGAGAUCCGCGCCGUCGCAAACGCAUUAAGUGCCCCGCCUGGGGAGUACGGUCGCAAGACUAAAACUCAAAGGAAUUGGCGGGGGCCCGCACAAGCAGCGGAGCGUGUUGCUUAAUUCGAUGUUACGCGAAGAACCUUACCUGGGUUUGACACGUAGGGAAAAGCUCUAGAGAUAGGGUGUCCUAACGGGCCCUACACAGGUGGUGCAUGGCUGUCGUCAGCUCGUGUCGUGAGAUGUUGGGUUAAGUCCCGCAACGAGCGCAACCCUUAUCCUAUGUUGCCAGCGGGUAAUGCCGGGGACUCGUAGGAGACUGCCGGGGUCAACUCGGAGGAAGGUGGGGACGAAGUCAAGUCAUCAUGCCCCUUAUGCCCAGGGCUGCAAACACGCUACAAUGGCCGGUACAGAGGGCUGCGAUCCCGUGAGGGUGAGCGAAUCCCACAAAGCCGGUCUCAGUUCGGAUUGGAGUCUGCAACUCGACUCCAUGAAGCCGGAGUUGCUAGUAAUCCCGGAUCAGCACGCCGCGGUGAAUACGUUCCCGGG